rnacentral:hammerhead_ribozyme from 1 species
AUCCAGCUGACGCGACCCAAGUAGGACGAAACGCGCGUCGUGGAU